rnacentral:rRNA from 1 species
GACGAACGCUGGCGGCGUGCUUAACACAUGCAAGUCGAACGAUGAAGCCCUUCGGGGUGGAUUAGUGGCGAACGGGUGAGUAACACGUGAGUAACCUGCCCCCUUCUCUGGGAUAACUGUGGGAAACUGCAGCUAAUACCGGAUAUUCACUUUGCCGGGCAUCUGGUGGGGUGGAAAGUUUUUUCGGUGGGGGAUGGGCUCGCGGCCUAUCAGCUUGUUGGUGGGGUAGUGGCCUACCAAGGCUUUGACGGGUAGCCGGCCUGAGAGGGCGACCGGCCACACUGGGACUGAGAUACGGCCCAGACUCCUACGGGAGGCAGCAGUGGGGAAUAUUGCACAAUGGGCGGAAGCCUGAUGCAGCAACGCCGCGUGCGGGAUGACGGCCUUCGGGUUGUAAACCGCUUUCAGCAGGGACGAAUUCAGACGGUACCUGCAGAAGAAGCACCGGCUAACUACGUGCCAGCCGCCGCCGUAAAAC